rnacentral:rRNA from 1 species
UACGUAGGGGGCAAGCGUUGUCCGGAUUUACUGGGCGUAAAGCGCGUGUAGGCGGUCCGGUAAGUCCGCUGUGAAAGUCGGGGGCUCAACCCUCGGAUGCCGGUGGAUACUGUCGGGCUUGAGUACGGAAGAGGCGAGUGGAAUUCCUGGUGUAGCGGUGAAAUGCGCAGAUAUCAGGAGGAACACCAAUUGCGAAGGCAGCUCGCUGGGACGUUACUGACGCUGAGACGCGAAAGCGUGGGGAGCAAACAGG